AUUGAACGCUGGCGGCAGGCCUAACACAUGCAAGUCGAACGAGUGGCGGACGGGUGAGUAAUGUCUGGGAAACUGCCCGAUGGAGGGGGAUAAAUACUGGAAACGGUAGCUAAUAACGAAUACCAUCGGAUGUGCCCAGAUGGGAUGAGAUAGUAGGUGGGGUAACGGCUCAACUAGGGGACGAUCCAUAGCUGGUCUGAGAGGAUGACCCGCCACACUGGAACUGAGACACGGUCCAGACUCCUAAGGUAGUCAGCAGUGGGUAAUAUUGCACAAGGGGCGCAAUCCGGAUGCAGCCAUGCCGCGUGUAGGAAGAAGGCCUUCGGGUUGUAAAGUACUUUCAGCGAGGAGGCGUUACUCGCAGAAGAAGCACCGGCUAACUCCGUGCCAGCAGCCGCGGUAAUUC
rnacentral:rRNA from 1 species